rnacentral:rRNA from 1 species
UACGGAGGAGGCAAGCGUUAUCCGAAAUUAUUGGGCGUAAAGCGUCCGCAGGUGGCACUUCAAGUCUGUCGUCAAAGACUGGGGCUUAACCCUGGAAAGGCGGUGGAAACUGAAGCGCUAGAGUGCGGUAGGGGUAGAGGGAAUUCCCGGUGUAGCGGUGAAAUGCGUAGAGAUCGGGAAGAACAUCGGUGGCGAAAGCGCUCUACUGGACCGCAACUGACACUCAGGGACGAAAGCUAGGGGAGCGAAUGGG